rnacentral:rRNA from 1 species
AGGAUGAACGCUGGCGGCGUGCUUAACACAUGCAAGUCGAACGAUGAAGGCUGGAGCUUGCUCUGGCUGGAUUAGUGGCGAACGGGUGAGUAACACGUGAGUAACCUGCCCCAGACUCUGGGAUAAGCGCUGGAAACGGCGUCUAAUACCGGAUACGAGCUUCCACCGCAUGGUGAGGAGCUGGAAAAGUAAUUUCGGUCUGGGAUGGACUCGCGGCCUAUCAGCUUGUUGGUGAGGUAAUGGCUCACCAAGGCGACGACGGGUAGCCGGCCUGAGAGGGUGACCGGCACGACGUGGACUGAGACACGGCCCAGACUCCGUACGGGAGGCAGCGAGGUGGGGAAUAGUUGCACAAGUGGGCGCGAAGCCU